rnacentral:rRNA from 1 species
AUUGCACGCUGGCGGCAGGCCUAACACAUGCAAGUCGAGCGAGCGGCGGACGGGUGAGUAAUGUAUGGGGACUGCCCGAUAGAGGGGGAUAACUCCUGGACACGGUGGCUAAUACCGCAUACUAUCGGAUAACCCAUAGGGGAUUAGCUAGUGGGUGGGGUAAAGGCUCAUCCAGGCGACGAGCGCUAGCUGGUCUGAGAGGAUGAUAAUCCACACUGGGACUAGGACACGGCCCAGACUCCAAGGGAGGCAGCAGUGGGGAAUAUUGCACAAUGGGAGCAAGACUGAUACAGCCAUGCCGCGGGUAUGAAGAAGGCCUUAGGGUUGUAAAGUACUUUCAGCGGGGAGGCGGUACCCGCAGAAGAAGCACCGGCUAACUCCGUGCCAGCAGCCGCGGUAAUUC